rnacentral:rRNA from 1 species
GUGCCAGCAGCCGCGGUAAUACGUAGGGGGCUAGCGUUGUCCGGAAUCAUUGGGCGUAAAGCGCGUGUAGGCGGUCCGGUAAGUCCGCUGUGAAAGUCGGGGGCUCAACCCUCGGAUGCCGGUGGAUACUGUCGGGCUUGAGUACGGAAGAGGCGAGUGGAAUUCCUGGUGUAGCGGUGAAAUGCGCAGAUAUCAGGAGGAACACCAAUUGCGAAGGCAGCUCGCUGGGACGUUACUGACGCUGAGACGCGAAAGCGUGGGGAGCAAACAGGAUUAGAUACCCUCGUAGUCC